UACAGAGGUCUCAAGCGUUGUCCGGAUUUAUUGGGCGUAAAGAGCUCGUAGGCGGUCUGUUGCGUCGGCUGUGAAAACCCGGGGCUCAACUCCGGGCCUGCAGCCGAUACGGGCAGACUAGAGUUCGGCAGGGGAGACUGGAAUUCCUGGUGUAGCGGUGAAAUGCGCAGAUAUCAGGAGGAACACCUGCGGCGAAGGCGGGUAGCUGGGCCGACACUGACGCUGAUGCGCGAAAGCCAGGGAGCGAACGGG
rnacentral:rRNA from 1 species